rnacentral:rRNA from 1 species
CCUACGGGUGGCUGCAGUGGGGAAUAUUGGACAAUGGGCGAAAGCCUGAUCCAGCCAUGCCGCGUGUGUGAAGAAGGCCUUCGGGUUGUAAAGCACUUUCAGUGGGGAAGAAAGCCUUGGGGCUAAUACCCUCGAGGAAGGACAUCACCCACAGAAGAAGCACCGGCUAACUCCGUGCCAGCAGCCGCGGUAAUACGGAGGGUGCGAGCGUUAAUCGGAAUUACUGGGCGUAAAGCGCGCGUAGGCGGUCUGAUAAGCCGGUUGUGAAAGCCCCGGGCUCAACCUGGGGACGGCAUCCGGAACUGUCAGGCUAGAGUGCAGGAGAGGAAGGUAGAAUUCCCGGUGUAGCGGUGAAAUGCGUAGAGAUCGGGAGGAAUACCAGUGGCGAAGGCGGCCUUCUGGACUGACACUGACGCUGAGGUGCGAAAGCGUGGGUAGCAAACAGGAUUAGAUACCCGUGUAGUC